UACGAAGGGGGCUAGCGUUGCUCGGGAUCACUGGGCGUAAAGCGCACGUAGGCGGCUUCUUAAGUCAGGAGUGAAAUCCUGGGGCUCAACCCCAGAACUGCCCUUGAUACUGAGGAGCUUGAGUCCGGGAGAGGUGAGUGGAACUCCGAGUGUAGAGGUGAAAUUCGUAGCUAUUCGGAAGAACACCAGUGGCGAAGGCGGCUCACUGGCCCGGUACUGACGCUGAGGUGCUAAAGCGUGGGUAGCAAACAAG
rnacentral:rRNA from 1 species